rnacentral:rRNA from 1 species
CUCGAUGAGUAGGGCGGGACACGUGGUAUCCUGUCUGAAUAUGGGGGGACCAUCCUCCAAGGCUAAAUACUCCUGACUGACCGAUAGUGAACCAGUACCGUGAGGGAAAGGCGAAAAGAACCCCGGCGAGGGGAGUGAAAAAGAACCUGAAACCGUGUACGUACAAGCAGUGGGAGCACCCUUCGGGGUGUGACUGCGUACCUUUUGUAUAAUGGGUCAGCGACUUAUAUUCUGUAGCAAGGUUAACCGAAUAGGGGAGCCGGAGGGAAACCGAGUCUUAAUUGGGCGUUAAGUUGCAGGGUAUAGACCCGAAACCCGGUGAUCUAGCCAUGGGCAGGUUGAAGGUUGGGUAACACUAACUGGAGGACCGAACCGACUAAUGUUGAAAAAUUAGCGGAUGACCUGUGGCUGGGGGUGAAAGGCCAAUCAAACCGGGAGAUAGCUGGUUCUCCCCGAAAGCUAUUUAGGUAGCGCCUCGUGAAUUCAUCUCCGGGGGUAGAGCACUGUUUCGGCUAGGGGGCCAUCCCGGCUUACCAACCCGAUGCAAACUGCGAAUACCGGAGAAUGUUAUCACGGGAGACACACGGCGGGUGCUAACGUCCGUCGUGAAGAGGGAAACAACCCAGACCGCCAGCUAAGGUCCCAAAGUCAUGGUUAAGUGGGAAACGAUGUGGGAAGGCCCAGACAGCCAGGAUGUUGGCUUAGAAGCAGCCAUCAUUUAAAGAAAGCGUAAUAGCUCACUGGUCGAGUCGGCCUGCGCGGAAGAUGUAACGGGGCUAAACCAUGCACCGAAGCUGCGGCAGCGACACUGUGUGUUGUUGGGUAGGGGAGCGUUCUGUAAGCCUGUGAAGGUGUGUCGUGAGGCAUGCUGGAGGUAUCAGAAGUGCGAAUGCUGACAUAAGUAACGAUAAAGCGGGUGAAAAGCCCGCUCGCCGGAAGACCAAGGGUUCCUGUCCAACGUUAAUCGGGGCAGGGUGAGUCGACCCCUAAGGCGAGGCCGAAAGGCGUAGUCGAUGGGAAACGGGUUAAUAUUCCCGUACUUGGUGUUACUGCGAAGGGGGGACGGAGAAGGCUAUGUUGGCCGGGCGACGGUUGUCCCGGUUUAAGCGUGUAGGUGUGUGUUCCAGGUAAAUCCGGUUCACUUUAACACUGAGGCGUGACGACGAGGCACUACGGUGCUGAAGCAACAAAUGCCCUGCUUCCAGGAAAAGCCUCUAAGCAUCAGGUAACAUCAAAUCGUACCCCAAACCGACACAGGUGGUCAGGUAGAGAAUACCAAGGCGCUUGAGAGAACUCGGGUGAAGGAACUAGGCAAAAUGGUGCCGUAACUUCGGGAGAAGGCACGCUGACACGUAGGUGAAGUGAUUUACUCAUGGAGCUGAAGUCAGUCGAAGAUACCAGCUGGCUGCAACUGUUUAUUAAAAACACAGCACUGUGCAAACACGAAAGUGGACGUAUACGGUGUGACGCCUGCCCGGUGCCGGAAGGUUAAUUGAUGGGGUCAGCGCAAGCGAAGCUCCUGAUCGAAGCCCCGGUAAACGGCGGCCGUAACUAUAACGGUCCUAAGGUAGCGAAAUUCCUUGUCGGGUAAGUUCCGACCUGCACGAAUGGCGUAAUGAUGGCCAGGCUGUCUCCACCCGAGACUCAGUGAAAUUGAACUCGCUGUGAAGAUGCAGUGUACCCGCGGCAAGACGGAAAGACCCCGUGAACCUUUACUAUAGCUUGACACUGAACAUUGAGCCUUGAUGUGUAGGAUAGGUGGGAGGCUU